rnacentral:rRNA from 1 species
GACGGAAGGUGCAAGCGUUGCUCGGAAUCACUGGGCGUAAAGGGUGCGUAGGCGGAUUAGUAAGUCAGUGGUGAAAGCCCAUCGCUUAACGGUGGAAUUGCCAUUGAUACUGCUAGUCUUGAGUAUGGUUGAGGUGGGCGGAAUGUGUCAUGUAGCGGUGAAAUGCUUAGAUAUGACCCAGAACACCAAUUGCGAAGGCAGCUCGCUAAACCAUAACUGACGCUGAUGCACGAAAGCGUGGGGAGCAAACAGG